AUUGAACGCUGGCGGCAGGCCUAACACAUGCAAGUCGAACGAGUGGCGGACGGGUGAGUAAUGUCUGGGAAACUGCCCGAUGGAGGGGGAUAACUACUGGAAACGGUAGCUAAUACCGCAUACCAUCGGAUGUGCCAAGAUGGGAUGAGCUAGUAGGUGGGGUAACGGCUCACCUAGGCGACGAUACCUCGCUGGUCUGAGAGGAUGACCAGCCACACUGUAACUGUGACACGGUCCAGACUCCUACGGGAGGCAGCAGUGGGGAAUAUUGCACAAUGGGCGAAAGUCUGAUGCAGCCAUGCCGCGUGUAUGAAGAAGGCCUUCGGGUUGUAAAGUACUUUCAUCGAGGAGGCGUUACUCGCAGAAGAAGCACCGGCUAACUCCGUGCCAGCAGCCGCGGUAAUAC
rnacentral:rRNA from 1 species